UACGUAGGGUGCAAGCGUUAAUCGGAAUUACUGGGCGUAAAGCGUGCGCAGGCGGUGAUGUAAGACAGAUGUGAAAUCCCCGGGCUCAACCUGGGAACUGCAUUUGUGACUGCAUCGCUAGAGUACGGUAGAGGGGGAUGGAAUUCCGCGUGUAGCAGUGAAAUGCGUAGAUAUGCGGAGGAACACCGAUGGCGAAGGCAAUCCCCUGGACCUGUACUGACGCUCAUGCACGAAAGCGUGGGGAGCAAACGAGGAUUAGAGUACCGUGUAG
rnacentral:rRNA from 1 species